rnacentral:rRNA from 1 species
UACAGGGGUGCAAACGUUGCUCGGAAUUAUUGGGCGUAAAGCGCACGUAGGCGGUCCGUUAAGUCGGAUGUGAAAGCCCCCGGCUCAACCGGGGAAGUGCAUCCGAAACUGGCGGGCUAGAGUACGAAAGAGGGUCGCGGAAUUCCCGGUGUAGAGGUGAAAUUCGUAGAUAUCGGGAGGAACACCUGUGGCGAAAGCGGCGCACUGGACCACAACUGACGCUGAGGCGCGAAAGCCAGGGGAGCAAACGGG